AACGAACGCUGGCGGCAUGCCUAACACAUGCAAGUCGAACGAGACCUUCGGGUCUAGUGGCGCACGGGUGCGUAACGCGUGGGAACUUGCCCUUAGGUUCGGAAUAACUCCCCGAAAGGGGUGCUAAUACCGGAUAAUGUCUUCGGACCAAAGAUUUAUCGCCUUUGGAUGGGCCCGCGUUGGAUUAGCUAGUUGGUAGGGUAAAAGCCUACCAAGGCGACGAUCCAUAGCUGGUCUGAGAGGAUGAUCAGCCACACUGGGACUGAGACACGGCCCAGACUCCUACGGGAGGCAGCAGUGGGGAAUAUUGGACGAUGGGCGAAAGCCUGAUCCAGCAAUGCCGCGUGAGUGAUGAAGGCCUUAGGGUUGUAAAGCUCUUUUACCCGGGAUGAUAAUGACAGUACCGGGAGAAUAAGCACCGGCUAACUCCGUG
rnacentral:rRNA from 1 species